CGCCCACUAGCUAGCCCCCCAAACCAAAAACAACACACCAAUAUAAAUAUCCCUAAAUGCACUAACACCCGCAUAAAACAAACCAUUUUUCCCCCUUAGUAUGGGCGACAGAAAAGGAACCGUGGCGCAAUAGAGAAAGUACCGCAAGGGAACGCUGAAAGAGAAAUGAAACAACUCAGUCAAGCUAAAAAAAGCAGAGAUUUAAGCUCGUACCUUUUGCAUCAUGAUUUAGCCAGUAAAACCCAAGCAAAGAGCCCUUUAGUUUGGUUUCCCGAAACUAAGUGAGCUACUCCAAGACAGCCUAUUAAUAGGGCAAACCCGUCCCUGUGGCAAAAGGGUGGGAAGAGCUUUGAGUAGAGGUGACAAACCUACCGAACUUAGUUAUAGCUGGUUGCCUGAGAAUUGAAUAGAAGUUCAGCCUCUCGGCUUCUUCCCUCACCCUCGUCCGACCCCCCUCUGACACCUUAAGAAACCGCGAGAGUUACUCAAAGGGGGUACAGCCCCUUUGAGACAAGACACAACUUUACCAGGAGGGUAAAGAUCAUAAUAACAAAAAGGUAAAAUGUUCUGGUGGGCCUAAAAGCAGCCAUCCCUAUAGAAAGCGUUAAAGCUCAGACAUACCCCUCAUCCUUUUAUACUGAUAAUCUAAUCUUAACCCCCUAACCCUACCAGGCCAUCCCAUGCAAACAUGGGAGCGACUAUGCUAAUAUGAGUAAUAAGAGAGCCUCCGCCUCUCUCCUUGCACACGUGUAAAUCGGAAUGGACCCCCCACCGAAUCUUAACGGCCCCAAAUAAAGAGGGAACUGAACAACAGACCAAACAACCAGAAAACCAUCCAACGAACAACCGUUAACCCCACACUGGUGUGCCCCUAAGGAAAGACUAGAGAAAAAGAUGACUCGGCAAACACAUAAAGCCUCGCCUGUUUACCAAAAACAUCGCCUCUUGCAAAACUGAGGAAUAAGAGGUCCCGCCUGCCCUGUGACUAUAUGUUUAACGGCCGCGGUAUUUUGACCGUGCGAAGGUAGCGCAAUCACUUGUCUUUUAAAUGGAGACCUGUAUGAAUGGCAUAACGAGGGCUUAGCUGUCUCCUUUUUCAAGUCAAUGAAAUUGAUCUCCCCGUGCAGAAGCGGGGAUAACACCAUAAGACGAGAAGACCCUAUGGAGCUUUAGACACCAAGGCAGAUCAUGUUAAACACCCCUUCACAAAGGACUAAACCAGAUGAACCCUGCCCUAAUGUCUUUGGUUGGGGCGACCGCGGGGAAACAAAAAACCCCCAUGUGGAAUGGGAACACUCCUUCCUACAACUAAGAGCUCCCGCUCUAAUGACCAGAACUUCUGACCAAUCAGAUCCGGCAACGCCGAUCAACGAACCGAGUUACCCUAGGGAUAACAGCGCAAUCCCCUUUUAGAGCCCAUAUCGACAAGGGGGUUUACGACCUCGAUGUUGGAUCAGGACAUCCUAAUGGUGCAGCCGCUAUUAAGGGUUCGUUUGUUCAACGAUUAAAGUCCUACGUGAUCUGAGUUCAGACCGGAGUAAUCCAGGUCAGUUUCUAUCUAUGACAUGAUCUUUUCUAGUACGAAAGGACCGAAAAGAAGAGGCCCAUGCUCAAGGUACGCCUCACCCCCACCUAAUGAAAACAACUAAAAUAGGCAAAAGGGCAUGCCCCUGUGCCGGAGAGAACGGCAU
rnacentral:rRNA from 1 species